CGAGCGGCAGCGACUUAACUGAACCUUCGGGGAACGUUAAGGGCGGCGAGCGGCGGACGGGUGAGUAAUGCCUGGGAAAUUGCCCUGAUGUGGGGGAUAACCAUUGGAAACGAUGGCUAAUACCGCAUGAUGCCUUCGGGCCAAAGAGGGGGACCUUCGGGCCUCUCGCGUCAGGAUAUGCCCAGGUGGGAUUAGCUAGUUGGUGAGGUAAGGGCUCACCAAGGCGACGAUCCCUAGCUGGUCUGAGAGGAUGAUCAGCCACACUGGAACUGAGACACGGUCCAGACUCCUACGGGAGGCAGCAGUGGGGAAUAUUGCACAAUGGGCGCAAGCCUGAUGCAGCCAUGCCGCGUGUAUGAAGAAGGCCUUCGGGUUGUAAAGUACUUUCAGCAGUGAGGAAGGCGGGUGCGUUAAUAGCGCAUUCGUUUGACGUUAGCUGCAGAAGAAGCACCGGCUAACUCCGUGCCAGCAGCCGCGGUAAUACGGAGGGUGCGAGCGUUAAUCGGAAUUACUGGGCGUAAAGCGCAUGCAGGUGGUUUGUUAAGUCAGAUGUGAAAGCCCGGGGCUCAACCUCGGAAUUGCAUUUGAAACUGGCAGGCUAGAGUACUGUA
rnacentral:rRNA from 1 species